rfam:Salmo salar isolate Sally breed double haploid chromosome ssa07, whole genome shotgun sequence.
AGCUCAGUUGGUAGAGCAUGGUGUUUGCAACGCCAGGGUUGUGGGUUCGAUUCCCAU